rnacentral:rRNA from 1 species
UACGAAGGGGGCUAGCGUUGCUCGGAAUCACUGGGCGUAAAGGGUGCGUAGGCGGGUCUUUAAGUCCGAGGUGAAAUCCUGGAGCUCAACUCCAGAACUGCCUUUGAUACUGAGGAUCUUGAGUACGGGAGAGGUGAGUGGAACUGCGGGUGUAGAGGUGAAAUUCGUAGAUAUUCGCAAGAACACCAGUGGCGAAGGCGGCUCACUGGCCCGUUACUGACGCUGAGGCACGAAAGCGUGGGGAGCAAACAGG